UGGCAGAAUAUACUAAACAUCAUCUUAGGAUUCCAGAAACCGCAUGUAUCCCAACUUCCUCUUCCUAAUUGGUUCGAUAUAGACAAGUUACUGAACUUCUCUGAGACCCAAUUUUCUAAUCUAGAAAAUGGAGGAAAUACCUGUCCUGUAUGUCUACAUAUUACCCAGGAUUUUAGCAAGGUGUCCUGGACUCCAGCUGUGUUCAGCCUUCAUCAGAGGAGACACCAUUUAUGUUUCUUCUCCUCAGAGGCCCCAGAUAUAGUUGGAGGCAGUAACAUGGUGACACAUCAAAAUCAAGUCUCCAGAAGCUGA
rnacentral:lncRNA from 1 species